rnacentral:tRNA from 1 species
GCCCGGGUGGUGAAAUCGGUAGACACAAGGGACUUAAAAUCCCUCGGCCCUUGGCCGUACGAGUUCAAGUCUCGUCCCGGGCA